rnacentral:misc_RNA from 1 species
GGCUGACUUUUCGUCGUGCACGCCCAAGUGCUCUCAACCAUCCAUCUCACCCUAUGUGCACCACCGCGUGGGUUCCCUUUUUGGUCCGCCCCGAAGGGGGCUGCGUUUUCCACCAAACUCCAAUACAGGGUAAAAGGCUCCUUGGCAAUAACACGCAUUUAAAACACUUUUCACAAAGGAACUCUUGGUCCUGGMACCAAUAAAAAACGCAGCGAAAUGCAAAACUAUAGGGGAAUUGCGAAAUUCAGGGAACCACCAAACCUUUGAACGCACCUUGCCCCCCUGGCAAUCCCAAGGGGCACACCCGUUUGAGUGCCGGGAAUUUCUCAAAACCUUUUCUUUAAUGAAGGGGUUUGGGCCUUGGAGCCUUUUUCUUGGCUUCACCUCGAGCCGAGUCCUCCCAAAUGAAUUAUGGGGGCCUGCUUUGCGGAUCUGGAGGGAUAGAAUGUUAUACGUUCCGGGUUCGGCGAGGUCGCCCGCUUCAAUCGU